rnacentral:sRNA from 1 species
GAUUAAUAUAGGUAAGGAGUAAUGCUUGCAGACUGCCCAGGGCCCGAGAGAGUACCUGAGAGCAGGCGUUGCUAUGGUCAGCAGGCUUUAGAGCCUGAUGCACAAAUCAAACCCAUCGUAGGAACUGGAUUUGAAGGUUUCUUUGGAAAAGGAAAGGCUAUUUGGGGAGUACUAAAAGUUACAAAACAAACAACCAACAACCCGGGAACUGACUGGGAAACAUUUUGAAGCCAGAACUCUAUAUUUUGUAGUUAAAUAAGGAGUGUAUCUUCUGCCACUGCAUUGUGUGGGUCAGUGUGGCAGUGGUGCAAAAUGUCACAGGGUUGAGUCCCACGUCCCGAAGACUUCUCCUCUCCCUCACAUAGUCCUGUUACUCAAGCCUCCCUCUACCCCUGAAUUAUACUUGUUCUACGUAGGCCUUACACUUACUGUGUUCUCAGCAUUCAUUCAGCCGGGCAGACUUUCUGAGAAUAUGAUAGGUUCUAGAUGCUGCUCCCAGAAGGCAGGAGUGUGAAGGGGAGGGUAUCUUAUUGAUAACCAGGAUCUGUACGAGAUAGAUUAUAUCCAAUUAAUCUUUUGUAAAGCUUGCAUUUCCUCCAAGUUGUAAGAUCUUUCUCGGGUAGAAGAAAAUCACGGCUGCACUCAGGGUGGUGGCUGGACAUCUGGCACUGGGGCUUUAUCCAUUCCAAGUCUUCGGGACAUCUUCACAUUCCCAAUGCUCUCCUUAGGACAAUUGAAAGAACGGAUGCAAAUAAUUGCUGGGUUUUCAGGCCGUGGAGACAGGAGGCCGUCGAAAGUGAAACUGAAUGACAAAUGGCUUCACUCUGAAGCAACUAGGAUCAACAACUCAGAUCUGGAUGGUGACCUGUAGUUUACAAUCCCAUCAGAAGAGUUGAGCUGGUCCUUUAAGGAGGCUGGCCAGAAAAUUGAAAAGAAGUCCAGAUGAUCACAGAAACUAAAGAAAGUUUUGGAAGUAAUGAAGCUAUCAUUUUACACUGAAAAACAGAUCUGCACAUGCAGAAGCAGAAUGAUGUGAGACAGAAGAGGGCCACUUAUUCAUUGGUAGGCUUGGAGAUCAAAGCCAAGGCUUCAAAAACACUAAGGAAGUGCCAUCUACCAGAAAACCACAUCCCCAGCCCUGAAACAUUUAUUUGGAAACUUGGAUGAUACUUCUUAGGAAAACCCUUGGCUAAAGACGGAAUGAAGAUUUAAACAAAUAAGAAGAAACUGAGUCACAGCUGACGUGCUUCAUUGAUUAGGAUUGGACAUCUAACAAGGCUAUCACUCAGAGCACCGGGAUCCUAGUGUGGGUUUUCACAGUUCAUCUCAGAAUGGAUUUGGGGUAUGAAGAACGUGAUCACAGUUCCUAUUCAAGGUUCUCCUUUAACCUAAAAACCAUCCUAGCUGAAGAUCAAAAGAAAGAUUGGCAUUGAAUGAAGUACUGACUUAUACAGGACACCAAAAACACCAGAUCAGACGGCUAUUAUGCAAGAAGUGAUGGAGCCCAAAUGUCAAUUUUUGAGCAAGCUGCCGAUGGGGAGGUCAUUAUCUGGUAAGUGGCAUUUGUGUUGAUAGUAAUCUACGUGUAUUCGAUUCUAACGUAGAUAUCAGAGCGUAUAGCCAGAGCUAAUUUUUCUGUAGUAUAAUGUUAAGCGUGACCCCUAAAAUUCACUGAAUAAAUGCAUGAUUAUGGUAUAUUAUGAACUUGGCCACUUCUUUCCAUGUAUUAACAAUUUAUUAAGGUAAGUUAAUAUAAGUAAAAUGGAUAUUACAGUUAAGCAUGUCUGACUUUUCUUGACCCUCUGACUAACUCAGGGAUUUCAUUCAGCGUUAAUCAAUGGAUGUACACGAAAGACAAGAACAAAUGAAGUAGGAACCAGCAGAUUUUCAGUCAUCCUGGGCCACUUCCGUCAUUAUUUAGCAUAUAGCAUUAUCUUUCCAAGUCACACCAAAAAUCUGGCCUCCCUUUGUUCCCUCAUCAGCCACUUCAUUCUUUCAUCCUCUUUUAUACAUCUAGACAUUUCCUUUCCUAGACUGUCCUCUUCUAACAAUUGCAUGAAGAAUUUUCAUGUGAAGACUACUCAGUCUACUAUUUUGCCAAAUUCCAAGUCAUUCUUUGUCCCGCGCGUGACUUUUCGCCGGCAAG